rnacentral:rRNA from 1 species
AACGAACGCUGGCGGCAUGCCUAACACAUGCAAGUCGAACGAGACCUUCGGGUCUAGUGGCGCACGGGUGCGUAACGCGUGGGAAUCUGCCCUUGGGUUCGGAAUAACAGUUGGAAACGACUGCUAAUACCGGAUGAUGACGUAAGUCCAAAGAUUUAUCGCCCAAGGAUGAGCCCGCGUAGGAUUAGCUAGUUGGUGAGGUAAAGGCUCACCAAGGCGACGAUCCUUAGCUGGUCUGAGAGGAUGAUCAGCCACACUGGGACCGAGACACGGCCCAGACUCCUACGGGAGGCAGCAGUGGGGAAUAUUGGACAAUGGGCGAAAGCCUGAUCCAGCAAUGCCGCGUGAGUGAUGAAGGCCUUAGGGUUGUAAAGCUCUUUUACCCGGGAUGAUAAUGACAGUACCGGGAGAAUAAGCUCCGGCUAACUCCGUG